rnacentral:tRNA from 1 species
GGAUUGGUGGUUUAGUAGUAGAAUUCUCACUUUUCACAUGAGUGGUCCGGGUUUAAUUCCUGGCCAAUGCA